rnacentral:tRNA from 1 species
GCGGCCGUGGUCUAGCCUGGUUAAGAUGUCUGCCUGCCACGCAGAAGGUCCCGGGUUCGAAUCCCGGCGGCCGCA